rnacentral:rRNA from 1 species
UGGGGAAUUUUGGACAAUGGGGGAAACCCUGAUCCAGCCAUCCCGCGUGUGCGAUGAAGGCCUUCGGGUUGUAAAGCACUUUUGGCAGGAAAGAAACGUCAUGGGUUAAUACCCCGUGAAACUGACGGUACCUGCAGAAUAAGCACCGGCUAACUACGUGCCAGCAGCCGCGGUAAUACGUAGGGUGCAAGCGUUAAUCGGAAUUACUGGGCGUAAAGCGUGCGCAGGCGGUUCGGAAAGAAAGAUGUGAAAUCCCAGAGCUCAACUUUGGAAAUGCAUUUUUAACUACCGGGCUAGAGUGUGUCAGAGGGAGAUGGAAUUCCGCGUGUAGCAGAGAAAUGCGUAGAUAUGCGGAGGAACACCGAUGGCGAAGGCAGCCUCCUGGGAUAACACUGACGCUCAUGCACGAAAGCGUGGGGAGCAAACAGG